UCUUAAGGAUGAGCAAAGAAAGUGGUUUCUUGAGAUAGAAUCAACUCCUGGUAGAGAUGCUGCGAU
rnacentral:pre_miRNA from 1 species